rnacentral:rRNA from 1 species
AGUGAACGCUGGCGGUAGGCCUAACACAUGCAAGUCGAACGGCAGCACAGUAAGAGCUUGCUCUUACGGGUGGCGAGUGGCGGACGGGUGAGGAAUACAUCGGAAUCUACUUUUUCGUGGGGGAUAACGUAGGGAAACUUACGCUAAUACCGCAUACGACCUACGGAUGAAAGCAGGGGAUCUUCGGACCUUGCGCGAUUGAAUGAGCCGAUGUCGGAUUAGCUAGUUGGCGGGGUAAAGGCCCACCAAGGCGACGAUCCGUAGCUGGUCUGAGAGGAUGAUCAGCCACACUGGAACUGAGACACGGUCCAGACUCCUACGGGAGGCAGCAGUGGGGAAUAUUGGACAAUGGGCGCAAGCCUGAUCCAGCCAUACCGCGUGGGUGAAGAAGGCCUUCGGGUUGUAAAGCCCUUUUGUUGGGAAAGAAAAGCAGCAGGUUAAUACCCCGCUGUUCUGACGGUACCCAAAGAAUAAGCACCGGCGAACUUCGU